rnacentral:rRNA from 1 species
AGUGAACGCUGGCGGUAGGCCUAACACAUGCAAGUCGAACGUCAGCACAGUAAGAGCUUGCUCUUACGGGUGGCGAGUGGCGGACUGGUGAGGAAUACAUCGGAAUCUACUUUUUCGUGGGGGAUAACGUAGGGAAACUUACGCUAAUACCGCAUACGACCUACGGGUGAAAGCAGGGGAUCUUCGGACCUUGCGCGUUUGAAUGAGCCGAUGUCGGAUUAGCUAGUUGGCGGGGUUAAGGCCCACCAAGGCGACGAUCCGUAGCUGGUCUGAGAGGAUGAUCAGCCACACUGGAACUGAGACACGGUCCAGACUCCUACGGGAGGCAGCAGUGGGGAAUAUUGGACAAUGGGCGCAAGCCUGAUCCAGCCAUACCGCGUGGGUGAAGAAGGCCUUCGGGUUGUAAAGCCCUUUUGUUGGGAAAGAAAAGCAGCAGGUUAAUACCCCGCUGUUCUGACGGUACCCAAAGAAUAAGCACCGGCUAACUUCGUG